rnacentral:rRNA from 1 species
GAUCAUGGCUCAGGAUGAACGCUAGCUACAGGCUUAACACAUGCAAGUCGAGGGGAAACGACAUCGAAAGCUUGCUUUUGAUGGGCGUCGACCGGCGCACGGGUGAGUAACGCGUAUCCAACCUGCCCACCACUUGGGGAUAACCUUGUGAAAGUAAGACUAAUACCCAAUGACGUCUCUAGAAGACAUCUGAAAGAGAUUAAAGAUUUAUCGGUGAUGGAUGGGGAUGCGUCUGAUUAGCUUGUUGGCGGGGUAACGGCCCACCAAGGCGACGAUCAGUAGGGGUUCUGAGAGGAAGGUCCCCCACAUUGGAACUGAGACACGGUCCAAACUCCUACGGGAGGCAGCAGUGAGGAAUAUUGGUCAAUGGGCGAGAGCCUGAACCAGCCAAGUAGCGUGCAGGAUGACGGCCCUAUGGGUUGUAAACUGCUUUUAUAAGGGAAUAAAGUGAGCCUCGUGAGGCUUUUUGCAUGUACCUUAUGAAUAAGGACCGGCUAAUUCCGUG